rnacentral:rRNA from 1 species
AGUUCGUGGAAUGAUUUGUCUGGUUAAUUCCGAUAACGAACGUGACUCAAUCAAAUUAACUAGAAUAUUGUCAGUAGUCAGAUGUUGAUGGUGUUAUUGGUUCAAAAAGUGUUGGUUGGCAAGCAAUUGUUAAUUACAUUUUUUACUUUAAUAUCCGGAGUAUGACCUGAUAGUAAGUCAAUUUUUAUCGGUUGACAACUGCUUAAUAGGACAAUUUGUGUUCAGCAAAAUGAGAUUGAGCGAUAACAGGU